GAUGAACGCUGGCGGCGUGCUUAACACAUGCAAGUCGAACGGAAAGGCCACAGCUUGCUGUGGUACUCGAGUGGCGAACGGGUUAGUAACACGUGGGUGAUCUGCCCUGUACUUCGGGAUAAGCUUGGGAAACUGGGUCUAAUACCGGAUAGGAAUCACAUGUGGGUGUGUGGUGGGAAAGCUUUUGCGGUAUGGGAUGAGCUCGCGGCCUAUCAGCUUGUUGGUGGGGUAAUGGCCUACCAAGGCGUCGACGGGUAGCCGGCCUGAGAGGGUGUACGGCCACAUUGGGACUGAGAUACGGCCCAGACUCCUACGGGAGGCAGCAGUGGGGAAUAUUGCACAAUGGGCGCAAGCCUGAUGCAGCGACGCCGCGUGGGGGAUGACGGCCUUCGGGUUGUAAACUCCUUUCGUCAGGGACGAAGCGAAAGUGACGGUACCUGGAUAAGAAGCACCGGCUAACUACGUG
rnacentral:rRNA from 1 species